GCAGUAUGUAGAGACAUUGCAGGUGUGGCUGCUGUGCUACAUGUGCGCCAGUAGGUGGCAGACAGGAGACAGGCUAUGUCUACAUUCAAGCAUUCUGGCCUGUGAAGGUCUGAAUGCUUAGUAGCCUAACAUU
ensembl:snoRNA LOC120095750 small nucleolar RNA SNORA17